rnacentral:rRNA from 1 species
UACGUAGGGUCCGAGCGUUGUCCGGAAUUAUUGGGCGUAAAGCGUGCGUAGACGGUUAUGUAAGUCAGAUGUGAAAGCCCCGGGCUCAACCUGGGAAUUGCAUUUGAGACUGCAUAGCUAGGGUGCGGAAGAGGGAAGCGGAAUUUCCGGUGUAGCGGUGAAAUGCGUAGAUGUCGGAAGGAACACCAGUGGCGAAAGCGGCUUCCUGGUCCAGCACCGACGUUCAGGCACGAAAGCGUGGGGAGCAAACAGG